AGUUACUCUGUGCCUCUCAGUUAUUAUUCAUAUCUUGACUGACUUAGACAAGGCAACGACAACUUUCUGCAAUGGUUUGAACACACUGAUUUGAAACAUCUAUUUCUUAGUAGAAUUGUUAACAAAUCAUAUCAGAUGCUGUUUCAAAUCACCUCAGUCAGAGAAUUGUUUUCUGUUUCUUUGGAGGCAAUGUAACAUUCAAAUGUAUUUUAUCUGACUGACAUUUGAUUUAAAACAAAACAAGGAAUUAGGCACCCCUGCCUUAUCCUAGUAAGCUACUCUCAAGUAACAUUAAACUCCAUUUAGGAUUGUGGUAGGGUGGACUGUAAAGUUUCUCAAUUUCAUCUCAACUUUCAGAGACUCAAAGGGGUGGCCACCCUGAGAUGUUCCAGGGCCCUUGAAUGCUGUGACAGGGUCAAUGCAAUCAUCAAGGACACAACCUUUAGGAUGCACUCUUUGUUCCUGAUCCCGCCGGGAAUCUCCGAGGCCUCGACAUCUGGAUAAAAAGCCAGACCUCAAAGACUCCCCUCUGCCUGAGGCCGAUGAAGUUCUAUUCACGGACGGGGGCAACUUCAUGCAGGAAGUAUGAAGGCCCUUCAAAGUGUACAGAAGAAGAUUUGGUCCUGCGUUUGUGCUGCCCGCUCAGCCCCAGGGGAGGGACUUCCCCAUCAGUUUCAGCCUGGGGACUCUGUGUGAAUCCAGAAAUUCACUUCCAAGGGAAUAAAACCCAAAUGGAAAGAACCCUUCACUGUCUACCUGAUGACACCCACUGCAGUUAAAGUAGACAGCAUCCCAUCGUGGAUUCAUCACUCCCACGUGAAAGCAGCACAAGAGUGGACAGCUCAGGAAGAUGGGCCCUUAAGACUAAGACUCAAGCAUACAUAAAUCUAACCCUCUGUUUCUUCCUUUCUCCCUCUUUAGCCCAGGCAUACAGAAACAUACACUGACCUAGAGUAUAGGAGCUUAUAGUAACCUAGACCAGUGACAUCAUUACCCAGAACAUCACCAGCCACGGUACUCCAGAGAUCCGAGUAAACUUGUGCUGUCUUGCCUGAGAUCCCCUCGCCAUCGCAAUGGCUGGACACCACCUUGGAUCGGGAUCCUUCCUAGGCGGAGGAGCAUACUUAGGCUACAAGGAGGGGACCCGGCUGUGGCAUAUUAUCAGCUGAGAAAAGCCUCUUAGAGAUAGAACUCUAUAUUUGUCCUCAAGGACAUUACCUAGGGACAUCUAGCCACAUAGGUAAUAUGGGACUUGGCCAAGGCCAAUUUUCUUAUACUAACUGGGGUUGUGAGACUAUUUCCACUAUAGAUAAUUAUAAAAAACAGAAUGAUAAUCAUAUUAGAUUAAUAAGAGCGCCAAGCCCCUCCACAUGCUCUCUUGGGUCUUGCAACCCUAUCAUAAUCACCAUCAAAACUGGUAGCCCUGGGGGACAACACUAUUGGCUCACGAGACAGACACGGGGUAUCAGAUUAUAUAAAACCGGGUAUGAUUCAGGAUUAUAUUUUACUAUACAGGUUAAGCACCCUCCCAGGAAUGCUAACCCUAUAGGACCCAACAAACCACUUCUAGUUCUGGGACUACCCCAAAGUCUUACACCUAAGAAAACUUCUGUUUCUAGAGCAACUCCAACUCCAGCUCUGGCCCCUCUAAGUAGUAGCCUAACAGCUAUUAAACCCAGGCAUUCGACCAGCCACAACCAGAACCAGAAGGAACAUCAAUAACUAUGCUAACAACAAUACACAAGAUCUUAAAUAAGACCACCCCAGGCAUCGACAAGAUUGCUGGUUGUGCUUAAACCCAAAACCUCUUUACUAUGUUGAGGUAGGAACUCGCCUAAACUUAACUAAGCUCAGCAGACUGGAACUUCAAGUUGAUUCACUAGCAGAAGUAGUCCUCCAAAAUAGAAGAGGUUUAGAUUUAUUAUUCUUCGAACAAG